rnacentral:rRNA from 1 species
CUACGGAGGGAGCGAGCGUUAAUCGGAAUUACUGGGCGUAAAGCGCGCGUAGGCGGCUUUGUAAGUCGGAUGUGAAAGCCCUGGGCUCAACCUGGGAAUGGCAUUCGAAACUGCAGAGCUAGAGUAUGGUAGAGGGAAGUGGAAUUUCCGGUGUAGCGGUGAAAUGCGUAGAUAUCGGAAGGAACACCAGUGGCGAAGGCGACUUCCUGGGCCAAUACUGACGCUGAGGUGCGAAAGCGUGGGGAGCAAACAGAAUUAGAUACCCCAGUAGUCC